rnacentral:rRNA from 1 species
AGAACGAACGCUGGCGGCAUGCCUAACACAUGCAAGUCGAACGAACCCUUCGGGGUUAGUGGCGCACGGGUGCGUAACGCGUGGGAACCUACCAUCAGGUUCGGAAUAACAGUUAGAAAUGACUGCUAAUACCGGAUAAUGUCUUCGGACCAAAGAUUUAUCGCCUUUUGAUGGGCCCGCGUUGGAUUAGCUAGUUGGUAAGGUAAAAGCUUACCAAGGCGACGAUCCAUAGCUGGUCUGAGAGGAUGAUCAGCCACACUGGGACUGAGACACGGCCCAGACUCCUACGGGAGGCAGCAGUGGGGAAUAUUGGACAAGUGGGCGAAAGCCUGAUCCAGCAAUGCCGCGUGAGUGAUGAAGGUCCGUUAGGGUUGUAAAGCUUCUUUUACGUGGGAUGAUAAUGACAGUACCCAGAGAAUAAGCUCCGCUAACUCCGCGCCAGCACGCCGAC